rnacentral:misc_RNA from 1 species
GAUGAAGAACGUAGCGAAAUGCGAUAAGUAAUGUGAAUUGCAGAAUCCAGUGAAUCAUCGAAUCUUUGAACGCACAUUGCGCCCGCCAGCAUACUGGCGGGCAUGCCUGUUCGAGCGUCAUUUCAACCCUCGACCUCCCCUUGGGGAGGUCGGCGUUGGGGACCGGCAGCACACCGCCGGCCCUGAAAUGGAGUGGCGGCCCGUCUGCGGCGACCUCUGCGUAGUAAUACAGCUCGCACCGGAACCCCGACGCGGCCACGCCGUAAAACACCCAACUUCUGAACGUUGACCUCGAAUCAGGUAGGACUACCCGCUGAACUUAAGCAUAUCAAUAAGCGGAGGA